UCCCUGAUGGCUCAGUUGGUAAAAAACCUGCCUGCAACGCAGGAGACCUGGGUUCAAUCCCUGGGUGGGGAA
rfam:TPA: Bos taurus chromosome X, whole genome shotgun sequence.